rnacentral:tmRNA from 3 species
GGGGACGAUUGCUUUGACGAAUGCGGCAAUCUCCAAACGCAAGCAGGCAGAGUUUGGGCACUCUUUCAAAAACCCAGCAGCUAUAACUGCCAACAUUUUCAGACCUGCUCCACAGCAGGCGCUUGCUUUUGCCUAAGGGCGAAAGCCAUCUGGCUUGUUCAUCCUCGAUAGACAAACCCAGGUGUCAUUCUUUCGAGGAAAAGAGUGCGUUGGGGGCUCCAGCCACUCUGGAUAUACCUUAGCCAUAGAACAAGAAGGUUUCGUUCUGUUUUCACUUCAUGUUCGAACUUUCAACAGAGCUACGCCUGAAGAAAUCGUUUGAAGACGCGUUCGGACGAGGGCUCGAUACCCUCCGUCUCCACCA